GACGAACGCUGGCGGCGUGCUUAACACAUGCAAGUCGAACGGCAGCACGGGUGCUUGCACCUGGUGGCGAGUGGCGAACGGGUGAGUAAUACAUCGGAACGUACCUUAUCGUGGGGGAUAACGCAGCGAAAGCUGUGCUAAUACCGCAUACGCCCUGAGGGGGAAAGCGGGGGAUCGAAAGACCUCGCGCGAUUAGAGCGGCCGAUGCCGGAUUAGCUUGUUGGUGGGGUAAAAGCCCACCAAGGCGACGAUCAGUAGCUGGUCUGAGAGGACGAUCAGCCACACUGGGACUGAGACACGGCCCAGACUCCUACGGGAGGCAGCAGUGGGGAAUUUUGGACAAUGGGGGCAACCCUGAUCCAGCAAUGCCGCGUGAGUGAAGAAGGCCUUCGGGUUGUAAAGCUCUUUUGUCAGGGAAGAAACACCGGCUCUAACACAGUCCGGGAACGACGGUACCUGAAGAAUAAGCACCGGCUAACUACGUGCCAGCCGCCGCCGUAA
rnacentral:rRNA from 1 species